ACACUGACGUCGCGACGCAUAUCAAUAAGCGGAGGAAAAGAAACUAACAAGGAUUCCCUUAGUAACGGCGAGUGAAGCGGGAAGAGCUCAAAUUUGAAAUCUUCAAGGUUCUACCUUGACGAAUUGUAGUUUAAUAGAAGUGUUUUCUGUUAGUGAAGUUGGCUAAAAGUUCUUUGGAAUAGGACAUCAUAGAGGGUGAGAAUCCCGUAUUUGACCAUUAUUUUCAGCUUUGUGAUACACUUUCAAAGAGUCGGAUUGUUUGGGAAUGCAGUCCAAAAUGGGUGGUAAAUUUCAUCUAAAGCUAAAUAUUGGCGAGAGACCGAUAGCGAACAAGUACCGUGAGGGAAAGAUGAAAAGAACUUUGAAAAGAGAGUUAAACAGUACGUGAAAUUGUCAAAAGGGAAGCGUUUGACACCAGUGUUGUCUUUCUCGAAAAUCAAUUAAAAAUGGCUCGAUUUUGUAUUGCUUGAGACCUUAAAAGCUCACUGUACAUUUUUCGUGUCUUUUUUAAUGCACUUUUCGUUUAACAAGUCAACAUCAGUUUCUUUUGUUGUAAAAGGGUCAUUGGAAGGUGGCUUUCUUUUCGGAGAAAGUGUUUAUAGCCUUUGGCCUCUGCAAUCGGAGAGACUGAGGUCUGCAGCGUAGACUCUUCGGGGUUAGAUACAUUUGUGCUAAGUUAUAGCUUUUUAUAGACAACUUGUUGACUAUAAUUAGUCUUGUAGCUUACUCGCUUAUGCUAUUUUACCUACGCUUAGGAUGUUGAACUCUAUCACACACAG
rnacentral:rRNA from 1 species